AGUCAUUUCAUGUUGGUAUUUAAGUAAGCAUCUUUAAGUACUUUGUUGAUACAUAGCACAAAAACAAUGUUAACACAGCCUGGUUCACUACUGGGUUUGUCUUUAGGCAAGGUCAGUGCCUGAAGUUGUAUAAUAGCAAACUUUUUGUUUACUGAUUAUUGGGAGUUGUUAAUAUUUUAUUCUUUUGCCAGAGCAUUGUUUUAUUCUGUGAAAUGUCUAUAUGUGAACAUUAUUUGCCUAAAUAUAUUUACAGUAAUAAAAUAAUAAUUUAAAAUACUUUUGUUCCAGUUGAGCUAAACUAGAGUUUGAUUUUUAUUAUUGAAGCAAAUCAGCAGUGAUUAGGCAGUGAGUUUUUAGGCAGUGUUCAGGCGGUAAGUAUUUAGGCAGUGUUCAGGCGGUAUGUAUUUAGGCAGUGUUCAGGCGGUGAGUAUUUAGGCAAUGUUUAGGCAGUGAAUUUUUAGGCAAUGUUCAGGUGGUGAGUAUUUAGGCAAUGUUUAGGCAGUGAGUUUUUAGGCAGUGUUCAGGUGGUGAGUAUUUAGACAGUGUUUAGGCAGUGAGUUUUUAGGCAGUGUUCAGGCAGUGAGUAUUUAGGCAGUGUUUAGGCAGUGAGUAUUUAGGCAGUGUUCAGGCAAUGAGUUUUUAGGCAGUGUUCAGGUGGUGAGUAUUUAGGCAGUGUUCAGGUGGUGAGUAUUUAGGCAGUGUUUAGGCAGUGUUUAGGCAGUGUUUAGGCAGUCAGUUUUUAGGCAGUGUUUUAGGCAGGGUUUAGGCAGUGUUCAGGUGGUGAGUAUUUAAGCAGUGUUUAGGCAGUCAGUUUUUAGGCAGUGUUUAGGCAGUGUUCAGGCAGUGAGUUUUUAGACAGUGUUCAGGUGGUGAGUUUUUAGGCAGUGUUUUUAGGCAGUUUUUUGGCAGUGUUUAGGCAGUGUUUAGGCAGUCCAUUUUUAGGCAGUGUUUAGGCAGUCAGUUUUUAGGCAGUGUUCAUGUAGUGAGUAUUUAGGCAGUGUUUAAGCAGUGAGUUUUUAGGCAGUGUUCAGGUGGUGAGUAUUUAGGCAAUGUUCAGGCAGUGAGUUUUUAGGCAGUGUUCAGGUGGUGAGUAUUUAGGCAUUGUUAAGGCAGUCAGUUUUUAGGCAGUGUUUAGGCAGUGUUCAGGCAGUGAGUAUUUAGGCAGUGUUUAAGCAUUGAGUUUUUAGGCAGUGUUCAGGUGGUGAGUAUUUAGGCAAUGUUCAGGCAGGGAGUUUUUAGGCAGUGUUCAGGUGGUGAGUAUUUAGGCAGUGUUUAGGCAGUGUUUAGGCAGUGUUCAGGCAG
ensembl:lncRNA